ensembl:lncRNA
CAAUAUCUAAAAUAGGAGACAAGCAGGUUUUCACUGAACAUGACGAUGUGACAAAGGAAAGAACAAUGCAGGAAACAGUAAAGGAACUAAACACAAACUGAAACUACAUAGAAAUCAAGAGUUUAGAACUUAAACUAAAAAAAACUUGAACCUCUUGAAUGACCAAGCUUCUCACCCUAUGUCUGAGGGAAAGCCCAGCCACACUUAGAAGAAAACAGAUUUCUGGUGCUUGAAUCCGCAAGCUUGCAACCAUAGGUGAGGGUAGGAACAAAUACUGACCGUCAAUUCAACAUCUUCACUUUCAUGCUUGGCUUUCUCUGCACCAUAACAGAUCAGUAUGACAUCCCUGUCAGAACUAGAAACAAAACACAAGAACAAAAAUCCAUCUUAACAAGCAUCAAACUUUCCUAAUAACUAGAUUAUAAAUAAAUCAAACUCAAACUACUAAAAGAACAAUGGAAGCAUUAACCAGAACAUAGUUUUGCAAAACAAUUACAGCUUGUUAGAACAAUUAGAAAUCAAAGACACCACAAUCCCACAAGUUAUUAAACUUGGUUUUGAGAAUAACAAAAAAAAACCCCAAAUCAAGGCAAGAAUCUAAGACAUCAAAGAUGCAAUUAAUAUAAUAGAAUCUGAAAAACACCUCAAGAGAGCAAGGUUUCUAUUACACAACUGGCUUUGUUAGUCAUUUAACACAUUUAAAGGCUUUAUGUUUUCUCAUAAUAUCAUAAUAAUAGUAACAAACACAGGUCCUUAACCACAACAUACUCACAUUUACUCAAAAAAACAAAAACACAAUCUACAUUAUGGCCAAAGAAAAAAACUUACUGUAGUCUUCUGCUGAAAUUAGACUUGACAUGGCUCCAGCUGGCUGCCACAUCUAAUAAUUUGAUCAGUGAUAACUGGCUGAAAAUCAUCACCAGUAUUGAUCAAGACCUGCUGCAGCUCAGUUAUAUUCACAUUUUCUAGAUGGGUUUGUAUGGAUCAAUAUUGUCAUAAAUAUUGCCACAGUCGAUUGGAGACCUGUCAUGUAAAAAUACAGACAUCUGCAAUAAAUUGAGAAAUAAAACAUUAGAUUGAAUGAAUUGGGACACAGUUAGUUGAACUGGAUCAGCCUCAUGAAUUACUAAACCAAACUGUCCACAUUUAAUCUGAAAGUACAUUCAAUCAGAACAGCACUUCCUGACAGCAGGUUUAAGAAAGGUAUGUUUUUGGUUUUUUUUGUUUUUUUGUGUGACCUCGUAUUUAUAUACCAUUUCACUUGUUUUUAUGUGGCAGGCUACAGAAAGAAUCACCCCUCUGGGUUAUUAAUGAUGGAAGAAUAUGAGUCAAACUGCAGGGGAGUAAAUGACUCCACUGCAAAUUAUUUCGCAACCGUGAAAGCCAAAUUGCCCUAUUUAGGCAAAUUAACUGGACAUAUUGAACACUCCAAAUUGCACAUCCAAAUCAUCAUUGGGCUGUGGAUGUCAUAUGUACAUGUUUAUGAUGAUGCAAUAACAGUUUACAUUUGACAGCAUUGGUAUCUUAUUGACUACAUUGUUUACAUAGGCUGAAUGCCUCUCAUUAUAGUUUC